UUCAAACAGAUCAGUUUCUUGCAUCUUCGAAAUGGAGGUAUUACGAGGCAGUUUGGUUUUCCUUUUGACGCUGGCGCUGGCAGCAAUGAUUGCCAUUCAGGCUCAACCUGUGCCGGAGCAGCAGAACGAAGAUCUUCUAGGAUAUUUGGGAGACACGCUAGGCUGAAUUCUCAUUGAUCUUCCGAUAAGAAUCUGUAAAUGGAGAAUUGGAUUACACUUCAUCUACAUAUCUACAUGGAUAAAAUUCUCUGCAGACGUUAAUAAAUUCUAAAAGCUUCAGAAAUUCAUUGCCUUUUAAUGAAAAUGUUUAAAACAUUCCCAAUUUUAGAAGAAUAAAAUGUUUUGAAAUUUGUGAAUA